UGGAAGUAAAAAGUCGUAACAAGGUUUCCGUAGGUGAACCUGCGGAAGGAUCAUUACCGAGUGCGGGCCCUCUGGGUCCAACCUCCCAUCCGUGUCUAUCUGUACCCUGUUGCUUCGGCGUGGCCACGGCCCGCCGGAGACUAACAUUUGAACGCUGUCUGAAGUUUGCAGUCUGAGUUUUUAGUUAAACAAUCGUUAAAACUUUCAACAACGGAUCUCUUGGUUCCGGCAUCGAUGAAGAACGCAGCGAAAUGCGAUAAUUAAUGUGAAUUGCAGAAUUCAGUGAAUCAUCGAGUCUUUGAACGCACAUUGCGCCCCCUGGUAUUCCGGGGGGCAUGCCUGUCCGAGCGUCAUUGCUGCCCUCAAGCACGGCUUGUGUGUUGGGCUUCCGUCCCUGGCAACGGGGACGGGCCCAAAAGGCAGUGGCGGCACCAUGUCUGGUCCUCGAGCGUAUGGGGCUUUGUCACCCGCUCCCGUAGGUCCAGCUGGCAGCUAGCCUCGCAACCAAUCUUUUUAACCAGGUUGACCUCGGAUCAGGUAGGGAUACCCGCUGAACUUAAGCAUAUCAAUAAAAGCGGAGG
rnacentral:misc_RNA from 1 species